GCCCUCAUAGUCCAGUGGAUAAGAUGCAGCCUUGCGGAGGCUGUGGCCCGGGUUCAAGACGCGAAAAGCACA
rnacentral:tRNA from 1 species